AGUGCUUUUCAGCACCUAAUGCUUAUCAGCUACUCUAAAUCAGUUAAGCCAAACGGGCUCUAACUUAAUAGGGAAAAAGAGGAAACUUGGUUAUUCUGGAACAAUAAUUAUGGUCUGGUCUAGUAUCUGGUAUUGGCUUUUUUCCUUGCGAGGAAACUUGGUUAUUCUGGAGCAGAAAUAAUGGUCUGGUCUAGUAUCUGGUUUUGGCUUUUUCCCUUGCUGCUAAUAGCUAACUGUUCAUUUUCUUCUAGAACAGUUUUGGUCUUCUCCUUGUUGCUAAUCGCUAGCUGUAUAUGUUCUUCAGGAAUAAAUUCAAAUUCUUAUAUUUUUUAAGUCAAUCAAAGGAUGAAUCUUCUUUCACUUUAACAUUAAGGCAUAAGCAAGACCCAUUGCUGGGAGAAAGCAUUUUAAGAAGCUAAUUUAGCUGCUAUAAUCAUGAGGGUUGAGUGGUAGCACCAUAGAACAGGAAUGCAGGAUAAAGAGAUUUUGGGAUGAACUUCGUUUACGAGGGUCCUCUCUGUUGUAAGGUAGAUAGAAGUGCAAACUUUUGUCAUCUAUUCUAUUCUGACCAAGAAUUCUUCCUAGUAUAGUAAUUAUCUUAUUUUUGCCUACAGAUAGAGCAGUGAAUUGUAUCUAUAACUUGAAUUUUUUUUUAAGAAUUCACAUAUAUUUUGUUCUAGGUUUCAAAAUAUUAAAAGUUAAAAUAUAUAGGUGCGAUGGUUGUGUAUCACCAAGCGAGAUGAAAAUCUUUGUUUAAUGCAUUUCAAGUGCAACUGGAAAUGAUAAGGUAUGAAUGUAAAAUUAAUUGAUAAAUAUAACCCUAAAACAUUGAAGCACAACUCCACUUCAGGUGUAACUCUAUUUGUAAUGCUAUUGUGAUAUUUUGACAUAAUGUACCUAAGUCACUGGAGCCAAGUAAUACAAACAAGGAUAGUAGCUAAUCCUUGUAGAAAAGGAAUGUCAAGAGUUUGACCUACCUGCAUGGACUUAUAUUGUGGUCCUAUUUCUUGAUUUGCAUCUAUUGUGAGCCUCUCAAUUGAGGAAUCAAGGGAGAAAAGCCAACGGUCAGAAAUUCCGCUAGUUGCAUUGAAGUAAGAGAGGGUCAUGUUUCCUAUGUAAAGCUCUUGCUCUCGUUUUGGGCAGCAUAAUGAUCACGUGGAUCGGCAUGAGUAUUGCUUGUGACUUAUUACUAACUUCAGCUCUUUUGAUAUUUAUAAUAGACAACAUUUGUCGCCUGAAGUAGCACUCGUCCUGCUGUCUAGACGUCAGAUGAGUUAAAUGUGGUAUAUUUGUUCUUGUUCAUUGCUUAAGUUGAGUGUAAGCACUUUCUGUAUGUCUCAGAUGUAGUUGGUACGGAUACGGAGCUCGUCUAUUUGCUUAAACAAGGCAAACCGUUUCUAAUAAAAGUUUGCCACAUGUUAGAGGCAAACUUUGCGCUAGGAUAAACUUGCAUGUGGUGCUUUAAAAUCUAUAGUGUUUUUACUUGUCAUGUAACAUAUCUGUGAGGUACUUUGUUAUGUUAUUUACUAAUGAACUUUCAAGAUGUGAAACCUGAUGUUAAAGACAACUAAUUCACUGAUCAAAUGAUGAAACAUUGUUUAUCUUGUUCUCAGAAUGUGCUCAUGCUAUUUCCAUGUUCCUAGAGAAAGACUUACCCAUGUGCACUAAUUGCAUCCUAUUUUGUAGAGUAAACUACCCUACACAGUACACACCCGUAUAAUAUUGUUCAGUAAUGGACAUUACCCUUGUAUUUCAAAAUCAAACACUUAAUAUCCUAAUAUUAUUCAAAACCCUUGCUUCAUUUAUCAUUGUUUAAUAACAGUAUAUAAAAAGACUAAACUAACCUUGUAAAUGGUACAAUUGUAUUAGAUCGCGUGAUCAUUGAUCAGAUAGCUUCAACUUCUUCAAUUUUUUUGGUUCAUGUAUCUUCUUCCUGUUUUUUCAAUAAAUGUCUUCCUCAACCAAUGGACGAGCCAAAGGGAGACAUGGUGGCACAAGCAUGCUGGUGUAUUUCUUAGGCGCACUGUCCCUGAGGGCCAUUGGCGCACUAUCCGAAACUCGAUGGAUAAUGGCUACAUUUUAUAAGGCUAAUCAUCCUUGAAGGGAGCAUGUAACGACCACCAGAAAGAUGUAUAACCCCUGUUUCUGGAGAGCAAGCACAUGCCUAUUAAGUUAUUCUGAAGCAACUUGCAGCACUUGGAUUUCAAUAAAUCCUGAAACAACUUGAGCAAAGAAGCUCCAUUUUGUACUAAGCUGACUAUCUCUGUCAUAUACUCUAGUUAUUUCUUACUAAAGCUAUUCGACAGCCUCUCAUACCAGAAAAUAUUAGCACACUUAUGGACUAAAUUAUUCUAGGAACUUGUAGUUUAUAGUGCAUUGAAGCAGCUAGUUAUGACCCAAAACUUGCCUCUUUCGCAUUGA